rnacentral:rRNA from 1 species
UACAGAGGUCCCAAGCGUUGUUCGGAUUCAUUGGGCGUAAAGGGCGCGUAGGCGGGCUGUCAAGUCUGGGGUGAAAUCCCGCGGCUCAACCGUGGAACUGCCUCAGAUACUGACGGCCUCGAGGGAGGUAGGGGCGAGCGGAACUGUGAGUGGAGCGGUGAAAUGCGUUGAUAUUCACAGGAACUCCGGUGGCGAAGGCGGCUCGCUGGACCUCUUCUGACGCUGAGGCGCGAAAGCCAGGGGAGCAAACGGG